rnacentral:rRNA from 1 species
AACUAACGCUAGCGGCGCGUCUUAAACAUGCAAGUCGAACGGUAAGGCCCGCAAGGGUACACGAGUGGCAGACGGGUGAGUAACACGUAAGUAAUCUACCUUAGGAUGGGGGACGAACUCCGGGAAACUAGGAGCUAAUACCGCAUACGUCCGUUCUUUCUGCGGAUUGAACGGAGAAAGCCUUCGGGCGUCCUGAGAUGAGCUUGCGGCCCAUUAGCACUGGAGUGGCGGGGUAACGGCCCACCAUAGCUACGAU